GUUUAACGGCCGCGGUAUUUUGACCGUGCAAAGGUAGCGCAAUCACUUGUCUUUUAAAUAAAGACCUGUAUGAAUGGCAUAACGAAGGCUAAACUGUCUCCUUACCUUUAUCAAUGAAAUUGAUCCCCCCGUGCAGAAGCGGGGAUUAUCACAUAAGACGAGAAGACCCUGUGGAGCUUUAAGCAAAAUUGAUUUAUUAAAAGUAUAUCAAAUCUAUAAAAUAAAAUAAAAAUCAUUAUAUGCUUUUAGUUGGGGCGACCGCGGAGUACUAAAAAACCUCCGUGAGGAUUGAGGUAAACCCUUAAAACUAAGAAAAACACUUCAAAGUAUUAAAAUAUUUAACCUAAAGAUCCGGUAAUACCGAUUAACGAACCUAGUUACCCCAGGGAUAACAGCGCAAUCCUUUUUAAGAGUCCAUAUCGACAAAAGGGUUUACGACCUCGAUGUUGGAUCAGGAUAUCCUAAUGGUGUAG
rnacentral:rRNA from 1 species